UGUUCUUAUCAGUUUAAUAUCUGAUACGUCCCCCAUCGUUGGGACUACAUAUUAAAUGGAUUUUUCGAACAGGGAGUCGGAAAUGGGGCUUGCUCCGUCCGCUCCACGCAUCGACCCGGUAUUGCAGUACCUCCGGGAAUGGUGCAACACUU
rnacentral:snRNA from 8 species